rnacentral:misc_RNA from 1 species
GAUGAAGAACGUAGCGAAAUGCGAUACGUAAUGUGAAUUGCAAAUUCAGUGAAUCAUCGAGUCUUUGAACGCACAUUGCGCCCCCUGGUAUUCCGGGGGGCAUGUCUGUCCGAGCGUCAUUGCUGCCCUCAAGCACGGCUUGUGUGUUGGGCCCCGUCCUCCGAUCCCGGGGGACGGGCCCGAAAGGCAGCGGCGGCACCGCGUCCGGUCCUCGAGCGUAUGGGGCUUUGUCACCCGCUCUGUAGGCCCGGCCGGCGCUUGCCGAUCAACCCAAAUUUUUUAUCCAGGUUGACCUCGGAUCAGGUAGGGAUACCCGCUGAACUUAAGCAUAUCAAUAAGCGGAGA